UAGCCAUUUUGACUUUGGCUGUGCAAUCUAGUGCAAACCUGUAAAAUGUCUUAUCCACCAAUUGGUCAUCCCCAGGAAGUGGAUUGAAGAACCCACCUGAUCGAUUUGAACCAGUAGUUGUACAGUAUUUUAAUUGCGCAGGACUAAAAGUGGUUGCUAGAUUUAAGCGGUUUGUUGUCUGCGGGAUGUCCCGGAAUGAAACCGGCCGGAUUGGAAUUUGAUUUAGUCUAUGGAGGUGCGGAACGGGAAAACGCUGCCCUUUCAUAAUCUCUUAAACUGGAGGGGAUUUACUGUCGAGUGUCGACUAAUCCAUUGAAGAGACUGCAUGUCUCGUUUCGCGACAUCGUUUUCUUGUGAUGUUUUGGUCAACAGUUUGUGACAUUGUUGCAGCGCUAACGUUAAGAGUCCCCAGCGCGGUCACAGGUAAACUGGCGCCAACGGUUCAAGAAGAAUAACUGACCAUAUUCAUCUUCGAACUAUUCACCAUGUUUCUGCAACUGUACAGAUACCGUCGGUUUGUCGUUGUACAGUCAGUCUGAAUGCUAUCAAAUAGCCGAGGGGAGAUGCGGGCUGAUGUGGAGUACAGCCCGGUCGGCGAGGGGCUGGGGAUGAGCGAGUUCUGGCUCCAUGUGUGGAUGCGGAGGGUCGCUGUGAUCGCUGCCCAUGUUAUUGCCUUUGGUCUCACUGUGCUGAUUUCACUACUGUCUGGAACAAGUCUCUUUUCCUGGCAUCCUGUUUGUAUGUCUAGUGCAGUAAGUGAUCCUAAUGGCAUAAACAUGCACACACAAACACUGGCUGAAGUGUACUACUAUACCAAAAUACCAGCUACGUCUAGUUGUAGUAGUUUUAGGUAAUGUCACUGUGGCAGAUGAAGCUCUAUGACACAUCUUAUUUCUGCUGUGACAUGUACACUGCCAUGUCAUGUCACUGUGGCAGAUGAAGCUCUAUGACACAUCUUAUUUCUGCUGUGACAUGUACACUGUCAUGUCAUGUCACUGUGGCAGAUGAAGCUCUAUGACACAUCUUAUUUCUGCUGUGACAUGUACACUGCCAUGUCAUGUCACUGUGGCAGAUGAAGCUCUAUGACACAUCUUAUUUCUGCUGUGACAUGUACACUGUCAUGUCAUGUCACUGUGGCAGAUGAAGCUCUAUGACACAUCUUAUUUCUGCUGUGACAUGUACACUGCCAUGUCAUGCCUCUCCGCUGCAAAGGAAUUAUACCAACACUGUCUAUCUUUUAAGAUACCAAGUAUGCAUCCUAGGAUGUGGACUCGCACAUACAGUAGAGUACAGUAGAUACAGUAGCCAAUAGACACAGACAUACAUACUUGGUAUCUUAAAAGAUAGACAUACAGGUAACUGCCAAAAUGAAGAUAACACCAACAUAAAGUGUCUUAAUAGGGAGUUGGACCACCAAGAGCCAGAACAACUUCACUGUUUUGUACGAUUACAUUACAUUUUUCAAACAAUAUAGACAUAUACAGGCAACAAAAAAAACGAUAGACGCACACAAACAUCAAUGACAUCACAUCUGUCCAGACCCACAUGUUCCCACCGCAUCUCCAGUGACAUAGAACAGGCUGAACAAACAUUUAACAGAGAACACACCAAAGACAUAGAGCAAGUACUUCUUUGUACUUUGUGCCUUUUUAGGGCUUAUAAACUCUAACUCAUCUCCUAAUGUACCAAAAGACUGGAUUAUGUCAUUGUAAAUACAUUGGCGAAAGACUGCCACUUAAAGCUUCAAAUAUGUAACUGUUUGGGUGACCUGACAAAAUGCACAAAUAAAUAUGAGUUAAAGAUC